rnacentral:rRNA from 1 species
GACGAACGCUGGCGGCGUGCCUAAUACAUGCAAGUAGAACGCACAGUUUAUACCGUAGCUUGCUACACCAUAGACUGUGAGUUGCGAACGGGUGAGUAACGCGUAGGUAACCUGCCUGGUAGCGGGGGAUAACUAUUGGAAACGAUAGCUAAUACCGCAUAAUAUUGAUUAUUGCAUGAUAAUUGAUUGAAAGAUGCUAUUGCAUCACUACCAGAUGGACCUGCGUUGUAUUAGCUAGUAGGGGAGGUAACGGCUCACCUAGGCGACGAUACAUAGCCGACCUGGGAGGGUGAUCGGCCACACUGGGACUGAGACACGGCCCAGACUCCUACGGGAGGCAGCAGUAGGGAAUCUUCGGCAAUAGACGAAAGUCUGACCGAGCAACGCCGCGUGAGUGAAGAAGGUUUUCGGAUCGUAAAGCUCUGUUGUAAGAGAAGAACGGGUGUGAGAGUGGAAAGUUCACACUGUGACGGUAUCUUACCAGAAAGGGACGGCUAACUACGUG